ACAGGGAUGACUUAAAAUUAUCCGACAAUUAAUGAGGAAUAAUUUAUUUUUUAUCCUCUAAGAAGUUCUGAGUGG